rnacentral:rRNA from 1 species
UGAGGAAUAUUGGUCAAUGGGCGAGAGCCUGAACCAGCCAAGUAGCGUGCAGGAUGACGGCCCUAUGGGUUGUAAACUGCUUUUAUAUGGGAAUAAAGUGAGGGACGUGUCCCUUAUUGCAUGUACCAUACGAAUAAGGACCGGCUAAUUCCGUGCCAGCAGCCGCGGUAAUACGGAAGGUCCAGGCGUUAUCCGGAUUUAUUGGGUUUAAAGGGAGCGUAGGCUGUUUGUUAAGCGUGUUGUGAAAUGUAGGAGCUCAACUUUUAGAUUGCAGCGCGAACUGGCAGACUUGAGUGCGCACAACGUAGGCGGAAUUCAUGGUGUAGCGGUGAAAUGCUUAGAUAUCAUGACGAACACCGAUUGCGAAGGCAGCUUACGUGAGCGCAACUGACGCUAAAGCUCGAAGGUGCGGGUAUCGAACAGG